GAUGAACGUUAGCGGCAGGCCUAAUACAUGCAAGUCGAACGGUGUAGCAAUACACAGUGGCGCACGGGUGCGUAACACGUAUGCAACCUACCCUACAUUGGGGGAUAGCCUUUCGAAAGGGAGAUUAAUACCGCAUAAGACAGUAACUAGGCAUCUAGUAGCUGUUAAAGAUUUAUCGAUGUAAGCUGGGCAUGCGUCCAAUUAGUUAGUUGGCGAGGUAAUGGCUCACCAAGACGAUGAUUGGUAGGGGAACUGAGAGGUCAAUCCCCCACACUGGCACUGAGAGACGGGCCAGACUCCUACGGGAGGCAGCAGUAGGGAAUAUUGGGCAAUGGGCGCAAGCCUGACCCAGCCAUGCCGCGUGCAGGAAGAAGGCGUUAUGCGUUGUAAACUGCUUUUAUACAGGAAGAAACGACCCUUGCGAGGGGCAUUGACGGUACUGUAUGAAUAAGCACCGGCUAACUCCGUGCCAGCAGCCGCAGUAAUAC
rnacentral:rRNA from 1 species